CGUGGGCAAUCUGCCUUAAAGUGGGGGAUAGCUCGGCGAAAGCCGAAUUAAUACCGCAUGUGAUUAGCGGAGACAUCUUCGCGACAUCAAAGUCGGGGCAACCUGACGCUUUUUGAGGAGCCCGCGGCCUAUCAGCUAGUUGGUGGGGUAACGGCCUACCAAGGCUUUGACGGGUAGCUGGUCUGAGAGGACGACCAGCCACACUGGAACUGAGACACGGUCCAGACACCUACGGGUGGCAGCAGUCGAGAAUUUUUCUCAAUGGGGGAAACCCUGAAGGAGCGACGCCGCGUGGAGGAUGAAGGCUUUCGGGUUGUAAACUCCUGUCAUUUGGGAACAAGUCGCUUACGUUAACUGCGUGAGCGUUGAUAGUACCAGAAGAGGAAGAGACGGCUAACUCUGUGCCAGCAGCCGCGGUAAUACAGAGGUCUCAAGCGUUGUUCGGACUCAUUGGGCGUAAAGGGUGCGUAGGUGGCGCGCUAAGUCAGGUGUGAAAUUUCGGAGCUUAACUCCGAAACUGCAUUUGAUACUGGCGUGCUUGAGGACUGGAGAGGAGACUGGAAUUCACGGUGUAGCAGUGAAAUGCGUAGAUAUCGUGAGGAAGACCAGUGGC
rnacentral:rRNA from 1 species